UUGUCUUUAUUCCAUAAUUUAUAUUUUGGAGAGGUUUGAGAAGCCUUGAGGAUCAGAGAUAAUAAAUACCAACCUGUUGCUCCAGUGACCUGGAAGUCCUUCUCUAUUAUUUCAUUUGGAGAUCUCAUAAAUUCCUAUAAGUUAAAAUAUUACCGCUAUCACCUUCUUGCUCAAAUCAAACCUUCCUGUUGGGUUUACCAGGUCACUCCAGGGCCCAGCUGCAGCCUCUGCCAGACAGGGGACCAGGAGAACUCUUUUUCACUCAAAACAAGAUGGAUGGCAUUUCUCUUCAUAUCAGGUCACAAUAAAGCUCCUUAAAGUAUCAUUUCCAUUUUAGCGUCCUUCACAUUUCCCUACUGUCUAUGUAAACACAUACUCUCCAUAAAGGCUGUGCAUUUUAAGGUACUUGAAUAAAGCCAUAGAAGAGGAAU
rnacentral:lncRNA from 1 species